rnacentral:ribozyme from 1 species
UGAAACUAGCAGCCUAGCGGUGAUGGAUCCGAAGCCUCUAGAAGGUUAACAUAGGCUCUCCAGCUCCUACUCCUACUCAAUAUGUCCCAGUCGAACAGAACGGUAACAUGUCUCUCAAUUAUCCAAGCUGGGGUAUACGGGGAAACCCAACCCCUUGGGCGGAUGGGUUGCAUGGCUAAAUUGAGAGGG